rnacentral:misc_RNA from 1 species
UCCCCGUUACCGAGGCAGUCUAAGUAGAAAAGUUCAACUACUUAAAAGGGUUGCGCUCGUUGAUGGACUUAACCAAACAUCUCACGACACGAGCUGACGACGGCCAUGCAGCACCUGUCACCUGAUUCCCGAAGGCACAUCCGGCUUUCGCUGGACUUCCAGGGAUGUCAAGCCUUGGUAAGGUUCUUCGCUUAUCAUCGAAUUAAACAACACGCUCCACCGCUUGUGCGGGUCCCCGUCAAUUCCUUUAUGUUUUAAGCUUGCGCUCGUACUCCACAGGCGGGAUGCUUAACGCGUUAGCUUCGCAACACAGCGGGUCGAUACGCUGUACUGCUAGCAUCCAUCGUUUACGGCGUGGACUAC